GUGUGAUUGCAACAUUAUGUAGUCUGACUCUCUUACUCCUCAUGAGGUCGGACCAGGUUAUCUGCGCUUGAUUAGGAUAUUUGCAUAAAUUAUAAGGAGGUACACGAAUGGUAAUAUUCAAGAAUAGAAGUUCAAACGUUGUUAACUAUUGAUGCAUCCCUUUGUGUGACUUGAGAAACGAACGUUAUACUCCAUUGUUUUAAAACAUUUUGGGGUGUUUAACUUUAAUUAAUAAACACACAAGAGCAACAAGGGGUAGAGAAUCUAUUGUACAAUAUUUAAAAAAACGAACCAGAUUCUGUGAUCUAAAGUCUUGCCAGAAUGUGUAUUGAUGUGACAAUCACUCCGUGGUUACAAAUGAAGGAAUGGCGUCGGUGGUACCAAGAGAUAAUGGAAUUUAAAGAUCCAAGAUUUGAUGGGUACCCACUGAUGGACUCGCCCCUGCCAGUGUUGUCCAUCGUGACGCUUUAUUUGAUUUGUAUUUGUUUCGGUUCGCUAUGGAUGAGACGAAGGGACGCCUUCGAGUUGAAGAAAGUUAUCCUGGCUUACAACUGUUUCAUGGUCUUACUGUCAUUAUAUCUCUUUAGCUGGAUGAUCUUCUACGUGUCGCGGUUUGGCUUUUCUUUGGUCUGCACUCAUUGGAUAACUUACGAACUGGAAGAGGAUUUUCCUUUU